rnacentral:lncRNA from 1 species
UUCGUUUGAUUGAUUGAUGGCAGUGAUUUGACAUUACCCGCGCUUCUGAUCUAACCCGUGAAGCAAAGGGAAAAUUAAUGGUUGAAUUUCUUAAUAUGAGCCAUCUAGUGAUCUUUCAGCUGUCUCCUUUUAUUUUGUGCGUGAGCUCAUUUCAUUCAUGUGGUUGAUUUGGCGGUGAUGAUACAACCAUUCAGCUUACAACGCCAGUUCUGCUUCUGAUAAGUCAUGACAGAUAAAGCUGAUUCAUAUCUGAGCCUUGAUUUGUGUCAUGUUCUGACAAACUCAUAAUUAGGAUCAUGCAUUUUUUCUUGCUCCAAACCUUACAUCCCGUUGGCCACUGAAGUCAACCCAAUGUUUCGAGGCUACAAUCGGCUCCAACUACAUGCUUGUCAGGCGGUAUCAUAAACUGAUUUUUUGUGGUUCAGUUAGACGAGAGCGAUGAAGAGCAACUUUUGUGAACUAGAGUUUCAGAUGCUACCAUGGUAGUAUUUGACGAUCAAACCCUUUUUAUUAGUAGUUUACUUAUGUUGUUUUUUACUUCCUGUUCUGAGAAGAUGAAUUUUGAAUGGUGAUGAACAACUGUGUUUUGGACUAGAGUUUCUGAUACUAGUGGUAGUUGAAGACCAAACCGUUAACUGUCUGAACUCAAAUCUAUCGAGCGGGCAAUACCUGACAUUUUAGAUGAUUUUUUUUUAUUAAAUGCGUCCAUUACCAAUUCUGAAGGAAGACUCUGUUCCUCUUUGUAUAAUGGCUCGGACGCCACAUGGUAUUCUAAAAUAGUUGUGUGGUUAUAUCCUGAUUGGUUGCGUUCUUUUAUGGCAAUCCAAUCCUGGAAAGGCCGCAUAUAUUCCAUCGCAUGCAAAACUGAUAAUUUUUCCACGUUUUUUUGGUAAUACCUUGAAGUGAUAGUGCCUGACCUGCUUGAUCGUGUAUCAUGAUAUUUCUUUUAUAUCGGAUACGAUGAUCUGAUAGAUUCCUUAUCUUUUUUCUCGUAUGAGUUGUCUAAAAAGAGGUGGGUGACGAUAACAAAGUAAAAUACAGCCAAUGUUGCAGAACAGGCCAACUUUUGCCUAUUAUAUUUUGGUAUCUCUUAACUAGUGGUGCGAGGCCAAUUGUUCACUUGUUAAUUUAACUAACUAAUUUUAAAUGUUGGUUGGUUUGGUAUCUUGGUAAUAUUUUGGUAUCUCUGAACUAAUUUUAAAUGUUGUUAGGGUAUAUUUUGUUUACCCUUGUAAUUGAUGUGUUAAUGUUGUUUGUUUCGAGGUUUCUCUUGAAUGUAAUCAUCACUGGUAACAUUGUGUCUUGAGAGGCAACAAAUUAGAGUCUUUGAUGGGCUUCUUUCUGUAGCUCAUUCAGCGCUUUACGUUGCCAAUAGCAAGCUUGGAAUAAGUUAUCAUGCAUUCACUGUCUUCUCGAACAGUGUGUGCAUCCCCAUGUCCAACAUUCCUCACUUUGCUUAAACGCUUUGCAAAAUUUCUUCUGUUGAUGUGUGUUUGGCUUGUAUGUGACUAUAAAUAACAACUGCCUUACUGCAGGUGACUUUUUUCUGGGAUGGAGCUCAUAUUUGCAGGUGAUUGAUUCAUCUUGGGGCUGAGAUUGAAAUAGGAUAUGGCACAUAUGAUAAUGAUCAGAGUGGUUUCUGAACAUACGAAGUAGCCGCCCAAGAGCUUUCAACCUGCCAAGUUUCAGAGCUAGUGCUGUUACAUCGUUGGCAAUGCCACAACAUUUUUUCACAUACAUUUAUUUCCCAAUGCGUUGUCCUUAAUGCCAUGUCCUUAUGUAGCAGUUCAUGAACAAGAUUGGAAGGAUAUAAGCACUCAACGACCUUCGUCGAC